rnacentral:rRNA from 1 species
UAUGGUAUUGUGCAGCCGCCGCGGUAAAACGUAGGUCACAAGCGUUGUCCGGAAUUACUGGGUGUAAAGGGAGCGCAGGCGGGAAGACAAGUUGGAAGUGAAAUCUAUGGGCUCAACCCAUAAACUGCUUUCAAAACUGUUUUUCUUGAGUAGUGCAGAGGUAGGCGGAAUUCCCGGUGUAGCGGUGGAAUGCGUAGAUAUCGGGAGGAACACCAGUGGCGAAGGCGGCCUACUGGGCACCAACUGACGCUGAGGCUCGAAAGUGUGGGUAGCAAACAGG